AAUCUCUACCCCAAAUUUGCGUCACCCUGGGCAUCUUCACCUUGUCGACCUCAAGACAUAGCUGGCUGCAAUAAAACUUGGCCGAUAUGGUGAAGACCUUCUCUUCUAUCUC
rnacentral:sRNA from 1 species